CAUGUUAUUUGGGGAAAAGGUUGUGUUAAGUUUUGGUGAUCAAAAGCUUUGGUGAUGAAUUAUCCCUGGUGAGGAGUGGUACCAGAAGACCGAUGGAUUUCAGUCUAGCACUCUGCAGAGUGAGGCGAUUUCUCUGUACUCCCAGAAUUUCCAAUGGAUCUUCCCCGACCCAUUUGGAGGAUCCAUGGGGCGCUGCUGCAAAGGAGCCCAAGUCUCACCUCCAGUUCUGUUGUCCAGAGGGACACACAGGCAUGUAGGAAUAAUAAUCCAAUAAAAAAUUUACAUAGUCUUUCCUCCACCUCACUCCCCCACCCAAUUUUUAAUUUCAUAUCACUAUCCCCUGUUGCCAAGAGGAGUUUAUCUAUGGUGUUUGAUAAGGGAGCACUAAACACAUUAUAUUGCUAUUUUAAAUGACAUCACAACUAACUAGAUAUUUUAAUUGAAGGUAAAUAACCAACAUUAUUGCCUUUUGAAUGAUAGCAAUAGGGGAGAGUAAUGGUACCACUGAGGAAUCAAUUGCUAUUUCCCUCAUAAACCAUAAACCAUUCAGAGAUUUAUAAUGCUUUUUUAAUGAUCAGCCCUUCUAGGUAUUGAGCAGCUCCUCCAAGAUCCUGAGUUUCUGGCUGCUUGCUGAAGUCUCCAGGAAUGGGGAGCAGGGGGUCUCAGUAUCGUGUAUCUUUGCACCCACCAGGAUGAAACUUGUCACACCAGUUAUCAGCCUCCAGCAAAGGAAAGCUUGGGAUUUUACUGCACUGCUCUGACACAGUGUGCCCCAAGCUCGAAAACGAGGACACUUGACUCAACCACUGUUUCAUAACCUGCUUAAGAAUGAAAAUGCAUUGAGCAUUUGUGUGCAUUUCAUGCCCUCUUAAGACAGCACAUCGAAUCUGUCCAUAUUGCAGGACUCCGGAAAACAAAGUAACUAUAAUAUAUGCUUGAAGGCCAGUGCCUGCAAGUAAACUGCAAGGACUUUCACUGAAUAAAAGCAAUGACUACAAGAGAAUUGGGAUCAUCCAGCCCAUAGCUAAUGGAAAUACACCUUCCCAUCACAUCCUCAUGAUGCAGCACACAAAUCUAGACCUCAGUUUAGAUUUGCACCUCAAAGAUUUACACCGCACACUUGGAUUUUGAGCUGAGAGGAGCCUAGCUGCGAUGGAUGGCAGUGGCAAUGUGGGACAAAAUAAGGGAACAAGAAUGUGGGUAUUUCUAAGCAAUGCCUCAAAACAUGUGUCUUUAAGAGGUGAGAGAGAAUGCAAGUGUGCUUCAUUAUACGCUUCAGAUGAUCCAGCCUCACCCCUCAUUCAAGUUCUGGGUUUGACAGCUUCCUACUGUAUCCUUUAUAUAUCACCCGUUGUGACUAAGCUUGGAGGGGACAUGUAAUCAUUAAUCACCAUUAUGGAUUUCUUCCCUUCUGUUGGGUUUGACUUACAAGCUUAGGGGCAGAUCCUGCAGCCUUUACUCCUUCCUUCAGCCCUUUGCCCAAGCAAUCAGCCCUGCCUCACUCACGGGCAGCUUGCAGUGCUGCAGCAUCUGUAGGAUCGGGUGCCAAGUUUCUUACACCGGCGUCCCAUUCAAAUACGCAGUGGCUCUUAAUCCUUAGCAGGAAUUAACAGGAAGUUUCAACACUGCAUUAUUAAAUUAAAAGGUUACAAUCUGCCACAAGAUGACUUAAGCAGGACUCAGGAGUAUAUGUCUGUUAAUUUUAAUGCUCUGUCUCAAAGUACAGAACUCUGGACAUUUCCAGCAUCAUAUUUAAAACAUGGUACAUCUACUAAUACGUGAUCUGGUGCAUUAAUGGACCAAAUUAAGUUACAGGUAUGAAUUUUACAUAAAACGGAUUAAUAUUAUAUGUCAUGGAGGAAUCUUAAAUACUCCAUCUCCAUGCAUUUUUAAUAGUUAUGUGCUCUAAUUUAAUGUUCCCUGGCAUUGCUUUGCUUGAAGUCCCUAAACCCUCCUCCUUCCUUCCCCCCUACACUCCUCAAGUUUUGCUUGGGAUUUUCCCUGCCUGUAAACCAGCUUCCCCAAGUGCCUCAAAAAAUGUGUAAAGCCGGAA